UCGAGUGCUGCAAAAAUAGCACACGAUAAUAUGGAACCGGGUGAAAAUCCCGGACAGUUCCCGCUGCUGUAAGUUCCUACUUCGAAUAUCGGAGUAUAAAAGAUUCCGUCAAUUACUGCCACUGGCUACUUUCAGGCCGGGAAGGCGACGGAACAGGAACAAGUCAGAAAACAUGCCGAAACC
rnacentral:ncRNA from 1 species